rnacentral:rRNA from 1 species
GGGUUGUGAGGUUAAGCGACUAAGCGUACACGGUGGAUGCCCUGGCAGUCAGAGGCGAUGAAGGGCGUGCUAAUCUGCGAUAAGCGCCGGUAAGGUGAUAUGAACCGUUAUAACCGGCGAUACCCGAAUGGGGAAACCCAGUGUGACUCGUCACACUAUCAUUAACUGAAUCCAUAGGUUAAUGAGGCGAACCGGGGGAACUGAAACAUCUAAGUACCCCGAGGAAAAGAAAUCAACCGAGAUUCCCCCAGUAGCGGCGAGCGAACGGGGAGGAGCCCAGAGCCUGAAUCAGCAUGUGUGUUAGUGGAAGCGUCUGGAAAGGCGCGCGAUACAGGGUGACAGCCCCGUACACAAAAGCGCAUGUGCUGUGAGCUCGAUGAGUAGGGCGGGACACGUGGUAUCCUGUCUGAAUAUGGGGGGACCAUCCUCCAAGGCUAAAUACUCCUGACUGACCGAUAGUGAACCAGUACCGUGAGGGAAAGGCGAAAAGAACCCCGGCGAGGGGAGUGAAAAAGAACCUGAAACCGUGUACGUACAAGCAGUGGGAGCACAGGUUUACCUGUGUGACUGCGUACCUUUUGUAUAAUGGGUCAGCGACUUAUAUUCUGUAGCAAGGUUAACCGAAUAGGGGAGCCGGAGGGAAACCGAGUCUUAAUUGGGCGUUAAGUUGCAGGGUAUAGACCCGAAACCCGGUGAUCUAGCCAUGGGCAGGUUGAAGGUUGGGUAACACUAACUGGAGGACCGAACCGACUAAUGUUGAAAAAUUAGCGGAUGACCUGUGGCUGGGGGUGAAAGGCCAAUCAAACCGGGAGAUAGCUGGUUCUCCCCGAAAGCUAUUUAGGUAGCGCCUCGUGAAUUCAUCUCCGGGGGUAGAGCACUGUUUCGGCUAGGGGGCCAUCCCGGCUUACCAACCCGAUGCAAACUGCGAAUACCGGAGAAUGUUAUCACGGGAGACACACGGCGGGUGCUAACGUCCGUCGUGAAGAGGGAAACAACCCAGACCGCCAGCUAAGGUCCCAAAGUCAUGGUUAAGUGGGAAACGAUGUGGGAAGGCCCAGACAGCCAGGAUGUUGGCUUAGAAGCAGCCAUCAUUUAAAGAAAGCGUAAUAGCUCACUGGUCGAGUCGGCCUGCGCGGAAGAUGUAACGGGGCUAAACCAUGCACCGAAGCUGCGGCAGCGACGCUGAUGCGUUGUUGGGUAGGGGAGCGUUCUGUAAGCCUGCGAAGGUGUGCUGUGAGGCAUGCUGGAGGUAUCAGAAGUGCGAAUGCUGACAUAAGUAACGAUAAAGCGGGUGAAAAGCCCGCUCGCCGGAAGACCAAGGGUUCCUGUCCAACGUUAAUCGGGGCAGGGUGAGUCGACCCCUAAGGCGAGGCCGAAAGGCGUAGUCGAUGGGAAACGGGUUAAUAUUCCCGUACUUGGUGUUACUGCGAAGGGGGGACGGAGAAGGCUAUGUUGGCCGGGCGACGGUUGUCCCGGUUUAAGCGUGUAGGUGUGUGUUCCAGGUAAAUCCGGUUCACUUUAACACUGAGGCGUGAUGACGAGGCACUACGGUGCUGAAGCAACAAAUGCCCUGCUUCCAGGAAAAGCCUCUAAGCAUCAGGUAACAUCAAAUCGUACCCCAAACCGACACAGGUGGUCAGGUAGAGAAUACCAAGGCGCUUGAGAGAACUCGGGUGAAGGAACUAGGCAAAAUGGUGCCGUAACUUCGGGAGAAGGCACGCUGACACGUAGGUGAAGUGAUUUACUCACGGAGCUGAAGUCAGUCGAAGAUACCAGCUGGCUGCAACUGUUUAUUAAAAACACAGCACUGUGCAAACACGAAAGUGGACGUAUACGGUGUGACGCCUGCCCGGUGCCGGAAGGUUAAUUGAUGGGGUCAGCGCAAGCGAAGCUCCUGAUCGAAGCCCCGGUAAACGGCGGCCGUAACUAUAACGGUCCUAAGGUAGCGAAAUUCCUUGUCGGGUAAGUUCCGACCUGCACGAAUGGCGUAAUGAUGGCCAGGCUGUCUCCACCCGAGACUCAGUGAAAUUGAACUCGCUGUGAAGAUGCAGUGUACCCGCGGCAAGACGGAAAGACCCCGUGAACCUUUACUAUAGCUUGACACUGAACAUUGAGCCUUGAUGUGUAGGAUAGGUGGGAGGCUUUGAAGUGUGGACGCCAGUCUGCAUGGAGCCGACCUUGAAAUACCACCCUUUAAUGUUUGAUGUUCUAACGUGGACCCGUGAUCCGGGUUGCGGACAGUGUCUGGUGGGUAGUUUGACUGGGGCGGUCUCCUCCUAAAGAGUAACGGAGGAGCACGAAGGUUGGCUAAUCCUGGUCGGACAUCAGGAGGUUAGUGCAAUGGCAUAAGCCAGCUUGACUGCGAGCGUGACGGCGCGAGCAGGUGCGAAAGCAGGUCAUAGUGAUCCGGUGGUUCUGAAUGGAAGGGCCAUCGCUCAACGGAUAAAAGGUACUCCGGGGAUAACAGGCUGAUACCGCCCAAGAGUUCAUAUCGACGGCGGUGUUUGGCACCUCGAUGUCGGCUCAUCACAUCCUGGGGCUGAAGUAGGUCCCAAGGGUAUGGCUGUUCGCCAUUUAAAGUGGUACGCGAGCUGGGUUUAGAACGUCGUGAGACAGUUCGGUCCCUAUCUGCCGUGGGCGCUGGAGAACUGAGGGGGGCUGCUCCUAGUACGAGAGGACCGGAGUGGACGCAUCACUGGUGUUCGGGUUGUCAUGCCAAUGGCACUGCCCGGUAGCUAAAUGCGGAAGAGAUAAGUGCUGAAAGCAUCUAAGCACGAAACUUGCCCCGAGAUGAGUUCUCCCUGAGACUUAGAGUCUCCUGAAGGAACGUUGAAGACGACGACGUUGAUAGGCCGGGUGUGUAAGCGCAGCGAUGCGUUGAGCUAACCGGUACUAAUGAACCGUGAGGCUUAACCUUACAACGCCGAAG